GGCCCCGUAGUGUAGCGGUUAACACGCCGGCCUGUCAAGCCGGAGAGCGCGGGUUCGAAUCCCGUCGGGGUCG
rnacentral:tRNA from 1 species